rnacentral:lncRNA from 1 species
AGUUCAAGAGCACCAUGCUAAGGGCCUGCUUUCUAGGCCCACUCCCGGUGUAAAGGUUUUGGCUUGGAUUCUCCCUGAAAGCAAGGACUUGAGACAGGGACUUGUGUCUAGGUAGUAUAUUUGGGUGGUAACACCAAGGAGCAGGGAUGAGGGACUGAGCAAAGUGAGGAAAACAGGAAAGGAUAAUGUAGGAUAAGCCUGCAUUAUCAAAGUCACUGCUGAGCCCAGCUAGGGCUUGAUGUCAACCAGAACCUUCUGAGGAUUGUGUAGAAUGUCCCUUAGCAUUCUCUGCCUAGGGAUCAAUGGAAAGGGAGCAAUUGCUGCCACUUCCUCGCCCCCAAUGUUUGUGGGUUAAUCCUGCGCGCUGUGGAUGUGCGCAUACGGGGUGGACUCCCUGUGUCACCUGUGGCAUUGGAGAAGCCCCGGAGCAGACAGUGAAAGAUAUGAAGUGUGACACCGACAAGCUCUUUUUGGAAAAUUCCCUACGAGAACCGAAAUUUAAACCCAUUUACUUUAUAAGAAGCAGCAGAAAGAAGACUGGCCCUGAGCUAACAUCCGUGCUCAUCUUCCUCUGUUCUAUAUGUGGGACGCCUGCCACAGCAUGGCUUGACAAGUGGUGUGUAGGUCCGCACCUGGGAUCCAAACCGGUCGCUCUUCCCAGUCUUCAUGCACCUGCAGGGCUGUCAACACUGGGAGGACUGGAAGAAAUUUGUAAAGAGUCUGGGAGUCUUCAGAGAGGAAAAGAGUGCAGACCUGGACUCCUCCUUUUCCAAUGUCUUUAUUAUUAGAAGGUUUUCUAUGCAUUGAGCCGGUUCUGAUUAAGAAAGGAUCUAAUAAGAAGGAACAUUGAAGACCUUAAGCUGUUAGCCCUGCUGUGGCCGGCAUUACCCGAUGGGACAGGCUAUCCGGUCAUGGGCACGACUGGAGGCAGAAGGCCCUCCUGACCCGGCCACUGUGCUCUGUAAACUAAAAAGCUGUUGGCGCGGAUGCCAUGUCUUACCUCUGAGGAGCAGGCUGCUUCUCUCUUGACGAAUCGCUGUGGCCACUAUUGGAAUCUGCAACAGCAAAGGCCAGCGCACACCAGGCGAAAAGGUCACCCUGGCCUGUGGGGGAUCCGUUUUCAUCAGUAAACGGUGCCAGGAGCAGAACACCAGCAGCCUUCAGCUUGUAUUCUCUCAGACUCUCUGGUUUUCUCCCUCUGAGGUGGAUCAAGAGGCCCCCAGAGUUUUUGAACAAUUUGAUAGACAAGAGAGACCUUGGACUCCCUGCUAGUCUGGCAAUUGAGAAGUGGUUUUAAUUUGGAAAAAAUAACAGGUGGGACCUCAUUUUUACCCAAAACUAUUGAAGUAGAUCCUACUAUUACCACAU